rnacentral:rRNA from 1 species
GUGGGGAAUAUUGGACAAUGGGCGAAAGCCUGAUCCAGCCAUGCCGCGUGUGUGAAGAAGGUCUUCGGAUUGUAAAGCACUUUAAGUUGGGAGGAAGGGCAGUAAGUUAAUACCUUGCUGUUUUGACGUUACCGACAGAAUAAGCACCGGCUAACUUCGUGCCAGCAGCCGCGGUAAUACGAAGGGUGCAAGCGUUAAUCGGAAUUACUGGGCGUAAAGCGCGCGUAGGUGGUUUUGUAAGAUGGAGGUGAAAUCCCCGGGCUCAACCUGGGAACUGCCUCCAAAACUGCAUGACUAGAGUACGGUAGAGGGUAGUGGAAUUUCCUGUGUAGCGGUGAAAUGCGUAGAUAUAGGAAGGAACACCAGUGGCGAAGGCGACUACCUGGACUGAUACUGACACUGAGGUGCGAAAGCGUGGGGAGCAAACAGGAUUAGAAACCCCUGUAGUCC